rnacentral:rRNA from 1 species
CCUACGGGAGGCAGCAGUGAGGAAUAUUGGUCAAUGGACGAGAGUCUGAACCAGCCAAGUAGCGUGAAGGAUGACUGUCCCAUGGGUUGUAAACUUCUUUUAUCAAGGAAUAAAACGAGGCACGAGUGCCUUUCUGCAUGUACUUUAUGAAUAAGCAUCGGCUAACUCCGUGCCAGCAGCCGCGGUAAUACGGAGGAUACGAGCGUUAUCCGGAUUUAUUGGGUUUAAAGGGUGCGUAGAUGGGCUGUUAAGUCAGUUGUGAAAGGUUGGGGCUCAACCGCCGAAUAGCAGUUGAUACUGGCAGUCUUGAGUAGAGGUGAGGUAGGCGGAAUGCGUGGUGUAGCGGUGAAAUGCAUAGAUAUCGCGCAGAACCCCGAUUGCGAAGGCAGCAUACCGGCGCCCAACUGACGCUGAGGCACGAAAGCGUGGGUAUCGAACAGGAUUAGAUACCCCUGUAGUC